CGGACGGCAGCACAGAGAAGCUUGCUUCUUGGGUGGCGAGUGGCGAACGGGUGAGUAACAUAUCGGAACGUACCGAGUAAAGGGGGAUAACUAAUCGAAAGAUUAGCUAAUACCGCAUAUUCUCUGAGGAGGAAAGCAGGGGACCUUCGGGCCUUGCGUUAUUCGAGCGGCCGAUAUCUGAUUAGCUAGUUGGUGGGGUAAAGGCCUACCAAGGCGACGAUCAGUAGCGGGUCUGAGAGGAUGAUCCGCCACACUGGGACUGAGACACGGCCCAGACUCCUACGGGAGGCAGCAGUGGGGAAUUUUGGACAAUGGGCGCAAGCUGAUCCAGCCAUGCCGCGUGUCUGAAGAAGGCCUUCGGGUUGUAAAGGACUUUUGUCAGGGAAGAAAAGGCUGUCGCUAAUACCGACAGUUGAUGACGGUACCUGAAGAAUAAGCACCGGCUAACUACGUGCCAGCAGCCGCGGUAAUACGUAGGGUGCGAGCGUUAAUCGGAAUUACUGGGCGUAAAGCGAGCGCAGACGGUUACUUAAGCAGGAUGUGAAAUCCCCGGGCUCAACCUGGGAACUGCGUUCUGAACUGGGUGACUAGAGUGUGUCAGAGGGAGGUAGAAUUCCACGUGUAGCAGUGAAAUGCGUAGAGAUGUGGAGGAACACCGAUGGCGAAGGCAGCCUCCUGGGAUANAACUGACGUUCAUGCUCGAAAGCGUGGGUAGCAAACAGGAUUAGAUACCCUGGUAGUCCACGCCCUAAACGAUGUCAAUUAGCUGUUGGGCAACUUGAUUGUUCAGUAGCGUAGUAACG
rnacentral:rRNA from 1 species